rnacentral:rRNA from 1 species
AUUGAACGCUGGCGGCAUGCUUUACACAUGCAAGUCGAACGGCAGCGCGGGCUUCGGCCUGGCGGCGAGUGGCGAACGGGUGAGUAAUGCAUCGGAACGUGCCCAGUAGUGGUGGAUAGCCCGGCGAAAGCCGGAUUAAUACCGCAUACGACCUGAGGGUGAAAGCGGGGGACCGAAAGGCCUCGCGCUAUUGGAGCGGCCGAUGUCGGAUUAGCUAGUUGGUGGGGUAAAGGCUUACCAAGGCGACGAUCCGUAGCUGGUCUGAGAGGACGACCAGCCACACUGGGACUGAGACACGGCCCAGACUCCUACGGGAGGCAGCAGUGGGGAAUUUUGGACAAUGGGGGCAACCCUGAUCCAGCCAUGCCGCGUGCGGGAAGAAGGCCUUCGGGUUGUAAACCGCUUUUGUUCGGGAAGAAAUCCUCUGGGCUAAUACCCCGGGGGGAUGACGGUACCGGAAGAAUAAGCACCGGCUAACUACGUG